rnacentral:rRNA from 1 species
GGGACUGGGGGGGUGCCUAUACAUGCAAGUCGAACGAGUUCUGAUUAUUGAAAGGUGCUUGCAUCUUGAUUUAAUUUUGAACGAGUGGCGGACGGGUGAGUAACACGUGGGUAACCUGCCCUUAAGUGGGGGAUAACAUUUGGAAACAGAUGCUAAUACCGCAUAAAUCCAAGAACCGCAUGGUUCUUGGCUGAAAGAUGGCGUAAGCUAUCGCUUUUGGAUGGACCCGCGGCGUAUUAGCUAGUUGGUGAGGUAACGGCUCACCAAGGCAAUGAUACGUAGCCGAACUGAGAGGUUGAUCGGCCACAUUGGGACUGAGACACGGCCCAAACUCCUACGGGAGGCAGCAGUAGGGAAUCUUCCACAAUGGACGCAAGUCUGAUGGAGCAACGCCGCGUGAGUGAAGAAGGCUUUCGGGUCGUAAAACUCUGUUGUUGGAGAAGAAUGGUCGGCAGAGUAACUGUUGUCGGCGUGACGGUAUCCAACCAGAAAGCCACGGCUAACUACGUGCCAGCAGCCGCGGUAAUACGUAGGUGGCAAGCGUUAUCCGGAUUUAUUGGGCGUAAAGCGAGCGCAGGCGGUUUUUUAAGUCUGAUGUGAAAGCCCUCGGCUUAACCGAGGAAGUGCAUCGGAAACUGGGAAACUUGAGUGCAGAAGAGGACAGUGGAACUCCAUGUGUAGCGGUGAAAUGCGUAGAUAUAUGGAAGAACACCAGUGGCGAAGGCGGCUGUCUGGUCUGUAACUGACGCUGAGGCUCGAAAGCAUGGGUAGCGAACAGGAUUAGAUACCCUGGUAGUCCAUGCCGUAAACGAUGAAUGCUAGGUGUUGGAGGGUUUCCGCCCUUCAGUGCCGCAGCUAACGCAUUAAGCAUUCCGCCUGGGGAGUACGACCGCAAUGUUUGAAACUCAAGGAAGUUGACGGUGGGGCCCGCACAAGCCGCUGGGAGCAUGGUGGUCUAACUUCGAAGCAACCGCGAAGGAGCGUUUAACCAGUUCUUUCGACGAUCUUGUUUGAUUCAUCUGAAGAAGAUUCAGGAUUUCCCCAUUCGGCGGCCUACAUGAACAGAUGGUGCCAUGGAUAGUCAGAUCGACUCAUGUACAUGAGAUGUUGGAUUAGGUCCGGACGACGCCACCGUUAUGGACUACUUGCCUAGCGAUGAAGAUCUGGGUACACUCUUA